GCGAAUGUAGCUCAGUUGGUUAGAGCGACGGAUUCAUAUCCCGUAGGUCGGCAGUUCAAAUCUGCCCUUUCGCA
rnacentral:tRNA from 1 species